rnacentral:rRNA from 1 species
UACGAAGGGGGCUAGCGUUGCUCGGAAUCACUGGGCGUAAAGCGCACGUAGGCGGAUCUUUAAGUCAGGGGUGAAAUCCUGGAGCUCAACUCCAGAACUGCCUUUGAUACUGGGGAUCUCGAGUCCGGGAGAGGUGAGUGGAACUGCGAGUGUAGAGGUGAAAUUCGUAGAUAUUCGCAAGAACACCAGUGGCGAAGGCGGCUCACUGGCCCGGUACUGACGCUGAGGCACGAAAGCGUGGGGAGCAAACAGG